rnacentral:rRNA from 1 species
GAUGAACGCUGGCGGCGUGCUUAACACAUGCAAGUCGAACGGAAAGGCCCUGCUUGCAGGGUACUCGAGUGGCGAACGGGUGAGUAACACGUGGGUGAUCUGCCCUGUACUUUGGGAUAAGCCUGGGAAACUGGGUCUAAUACCGAAUAUGACAAUUGUUUGGAUGCGAUUGUGGAAAGCUUUUGCGGUAUGGGAUGAGCUCGCGGCCUAUCAGCUUGUUGGUGGGGUAAUGGCCUACCAAGGCGUCGACGGGUAGCCGGCCUGAGAGGGUGUACGGCCACAUUGGGACUGAGAAACGGCCCAGACCCCUACGGGGGGAAGCAGGGGGGAAUAUUGCACAAUGGGCGCAAGCCGGAGGCAGCGACGCCGCGGGGGGGAGGACGGCCUUCGGGUUGUAAACCCCUUUCGCAACCGACGAAGCCUUUUGGUGACGGUAGGUUGGGAAGAAGCACCGGCUAACUACGU